ACACCAAAAAUGAAAAAUGAGUGCCGAGCGGACUCUUGGUGCUCUUUUACUAAGAAGGAGCCCCCUCUUCUUAAAAGAUGACACUUAAUUUGUGACUAAAAGGAAACCCUGAAUAGCACAUCUGAAAAUAGGAU
ensembl:ncRNA T21E12.7 ncRNA